rnacentral:rRNA from 1 species
AAGUCGUAACAAGGUUUCCGUAGGUGAACCUGCGGAAGGAUCAUUACCAAACAUGUUGUUGACCCGCAUCGCCGCGCCACGUCGUACUGGGCCAGUGCCGUGUCACCAUCGGUUGAGUAGUAUCGUCUCUCUUAGGCCAGCGGGGUCUGCCGUUGGAUGGCCCGUUUAAGAGUUAACUUUCUUGGCGGCAAGCAUGGCUGUCUCUUUGCCAGUAGGGGAGAUUCUCUCGGAAGGUUCCGUCGCACCGCGUGAUUGUAACCGCCAGCUAACCGGGUUGGGAUUAGCCGACUGUCGCUAACUGUCGCUGGCUGGCCGCGUUGUGUUGACCGGGGCUACUUGGUCCGAGUUCCCCCCAGCUGCUACACGUCCGCCGUCUGAUUGUCACGGGCGGACGUGCGGCAUGGUGGGGCCCGGCGACCAUUUCCAGGCACCCGAAGAAGGCUUGGGAUUUCAGGAGUGGAUGCUGGCGGUGUAGGCCGACACAACACAAACCCCUCCGCGUACCCUUCCCGUUGCUUCCGCGGUCGCGAUUCGCCUCCGUGGAAGGUCCCCGUGAAAACCAUUCUGUAUCUCCAUGCCCUGAGUCUGAACUUCAAUCUGUUUAAUUAAGAUUUAAAAAACUUUCAACAACGGAUCUCUUGNUUCUCGCAUCGAUGAAGAACGCAGCGAAAUGCGAUAAGUAGUGUGAAUUGCAGAAUUCAGUGAAUCAUCGAAUCUUUGAACGCACAUUGNGCCUCCUGGCAUUCCAGGNNCAUGCCUNGNUCGAGCGUCAUUUAGUAGCGUCAAGCGAGUUUUGCCUCGCUUGGGUCUGGGGGACGGUNCACCUCGNNGCACCCACCCCCGAAAUNNACGGCGGACAAACCCACCCUUGGAACUGCAGCGUAGUAAGUUAUUCUUUCGCUAGCGGACAUGGAGGGACUGUCUGGCCCGGUAAAACCCCCAACCCCAAUGGUUGACCUCGGAUCAGGUAGGGAUACCCGCUGAACUUAAGCAUAUCAAUAAGCGGAGGAAAAGAAACCAACAGGGAUUGCCUCAGUAACUGCGAGUGAAGCGGCAAGAGCUCAAAUUUGAAGUCUGACGCCCUUGGCGCCCGAGUUGUAAUUUGGAGGGAUAACUUCGGGACCGGCGCCAUCCUAAGUUCUUUGGAACAGGACAUCACAGAGGGUGAGAAUCCCGUGUCUGGAUGGCUGCCCGGUCCCAUGUGAAGUGUCUCCGACGAGUCGAGUUGUUUGGGAAUGCAGCUCAAAAUGGGUGGUAAAUUUCAUCUAAAGCUAAAUAUUGGCGAGAGACCGAUAGCGAACAAGUAGAGUGAUCGAAAGAUGAAAAGCACUUUGAAAAGAGAGUUAAAAAAGUACGUGAAAUUGUUGAAAGGGAAGCGCAUGCGACCAGACUCGAUCUUUGGUGAUCAUCCGGGGUUCUCUCCGGUGCACUUGCCUUUGGUCGGGCCAGCAUCGGUUCCGGCGGCGGGACAAAAGCGGAGGGAAUGUGGCUCCCUUUGGGGAGUGUUAUAGCCCACCGCACAAUGCCGCCGGCCGGGACCGAGGACCGCGCUUCGGCUAGGAUGCUGGCGUAAUGGUCUUAUGUGACC